AUUUAAGAGCUUUGCUCUUUAUGAUUUAGUGGCGCACGGGUGAGUAAUAUAUAGGUAAUGUACCUCUUAGUCUGGGAUAGCCACUGGAAACGGUGAUUUAAUACCGGAUACUCCUUUUUCAUUUUCAAGAUGAAUCGGGAAAGUUUUUUCGCUAAGAGAUCGGCCUAUAUCCUAUCAGCUAGUUGGUGAGGUAAUGGCUCACCAAGGCAAUGACAGGUAGCGGGUUUUGAGAGGAUGAUCCGCCACUGGUACUGAGACACGGACCAGACUCC
rnacentral:rRNA from 1 species